rnacentral:sRNA from 1 species
AGGAGAAGUGCCAGAAAGCCCGGAAGCAAGGAAGGAAAGUGACCAAGCAUGUGGCAAAAUGGAUACUGUGGAUAUUGCAAACAACUCCACUUUGGGAAAACCCAAGAGGAAAAGAAGAAAAAAGGGGCAUGGCUGGAGCAAAAUGAGAAUGAGAAGGCAGAAAAACAGCCAACAAAAUGUUAACAGCAAAGCCGAUGGCCAGCUGGUCUCAAGUGAAAAGAAGGCAAACGUGAAUCUGAAAGACCUUUCCAAGAUUAGGGAGAGAAAGAGAGGCAAACCUGGAACCCGCUUCACUCAGAGUGACAGAGCUCCACAGAAAAGAGUUCGAUCAAGAGCUUCAAGAAAGCACAAAGAUGAAACUGUGGAUUUUCAGGCUCCUUUACUUCCAGUGACCUGUGGUGGGGUGAAGGGAAUUUUACAUAAGGAGAAAUUGGAACAAGGAACCUUCGUGAAGUGUAUACAGACUGAGGAUGGAAAUUGGUUCACCCCCAGGAAAUUUGAAAUCAAAGGAGGCUACGCAAGAUCAAAGAACUGGAGGCUGAGUUUGCGCUGUGGCGGGUGGCCCCUACAACGGUUGAUGGAGGAAGGAUUUCUACCUAAUCCUCCAAGAAUAUAUUACAGGAACAAAAAGAGAAUACCGAAGUCUCAAAACAAUAGCUCAGUUGACCGUUGUAUGAGAAACUUGGAUGAGUGUGAGGUGUGCCGGGACGGAGGGGAGCUGUUCUGUUGUGACACUUGUUCAAGAGUCUUCCAUGAGGACUGCCACAUCCCGCCUGUGGAAAGUGAGAAGUAAGUGACAUGCAGGCGCCUCUCUUUCACCCUUUAAGGGACCUUCCACCUGCCAUGCGCACUCUCCAGCAGAAUGCCUGCUUGUGUCUAGAUGGGGAAGGAGCAGGUUCAUCGGGUACUGGGACCCAGCAGUGUGAUCCAGAGAGCAGUGGGAGAUGCUGGCAGCAGGAGGUUAAUGUUCUCUGUGCUCUCAGGGACACCUCCUCUGAUAUGCUGAGGCCAGUGUUGGGGACCUUUGCCUACAUACUGGUAUUGUCCUUUCCUUGAGGUUUUGCUUUAGGGUCUCCUGUCCCAGGGGGUUGAGGAAAAGAAACACCAGUUGUUUAUAUUUUGUGCUUAUUCAUACAAGACAGGAAGCACGGUUUCAGGCUGAUGGAGGCCCGAAGUCCCUGGAGUUGAAAGCCCAGUUUCUGACACUCGGGCCUGGCAGGCAGGACUCCUUGUGCUCCCAGCAGCUCAGACAGGGAAAGGAUAGUCCACACUCACGGUGACACCACCUUCCUGAGGCUUCCCUCCCGCUGCUACCACUGAUGCGAGGGAAAGGCCAGUGGCUGGAGACCUCAUGUGCAGUUCUUGGAUACUCUGGGAGGUGUUCCCCUCCCUCCCAUGACUGAGCCCAUCAGCCAUUCCUGAAGGAAGACAGUGGCAGCCACAGGAACGGUGGCCAUUUCCAGGGUCCCUGCCCUCUACUGACCCAUGUCCAAUCUCUUAGGACCCCGUGGAGUUGCAUCUUCUGCAGGAUGAACAAGUCUCCAGGAAGCCAACAGUGUUGUCAGGAAUCUGAGGUCCUGGAGAGGCAGAUGUGUCCUGAGGAACAGUUGGUAAAUCAGAUGCAAACCCUAAGCCUUCUCCUUUCCCCUCACACGUGAGAAUCAUGAAUAAGCACAGGGGCAGGGGAAUGUACCGAAAGGAGCCUGCUCUUCCGCGCCACACUUCAAUGGCACUGAUAGAACACCACAACUUGUUUGCACAAAAAAUAACUCAGCCGUGACAUGUCUGUUUCCAAGAGCCACACAUGUUAGAGAAACUUGUGGAAGAAGAGUGUGAGUCGUGUGCUCUGUCUCAUGCAUGUGGGCUCAUUCUCUCCAAGCUGCUUUUCACUUAUGGCCUCUUUCUUUUGCAGAAAUGUGAGUUCCUCCUCUUGAAAGUCUAUUGCUGUUCUGAGAGCUCCUUUUUUGCCAAGAUUCCAUACUAUUAUUAUAUUAGAGAGGCGUGUCAAGGCCUGAAGGAGCCCAUGUGGUUGGAUAAAAUCAAGAAAAGGCUGAAUGAGCACGGUUACCCCCAAGUGGAGGGGUUUGUACAAGACAUGCGCCUCAUCUUCCAGAACCACAGGGCCUCUUACAAGUACAAGGAUUUUGGCCAAAUGGGACUUAGACUGGAGGCUGAAUUUGAGAAGGAUUUCAAGGAAGUGUUUGCUAUUCAGGAAACAAAUGGGAACAGUUGACUGGUUUAGUGGAUGCUGAAGGCCUUCAGGAAAUAUGCCACUGGUUUGCCACUGACUUCAAACUGAGAGCGCUUGGGAAAUAGCACAUGCAGGGAGGGGCUUUUCUCUGAGCCUCCCUCAUCUGCCCAAAGACAAAUGCUCAAAAGAAAUGUGAUCAUCAUGAAUCCCAUCCCCAAGAAUCUCAUCAGCCAGGGAAGAGGAACUGAAAUCACAGGGAAGGAGAUUGGAGGUGAUACCAGCACAGACAGACUCUCGCCUCUUCUCCUGAGGUCUGCUCCAGACAACAUUUAUUACUCACAAGACCUUUUUCCUCUGUUUUUUUUGAGAUGGAGUCUCACACUCUCUCCCGGGGUUAGAAUGCAAUGGCGCAAUCUCAGCUCACUGCAACCUCUGCCUCCCGGGUUCAAGUGAUUCUCCUGUCUCAGCCUCCCGAGUAGCUGGGAUUACAGUGCUUGUCACCAUGCCCAGCUAAUUUUUUGCAUUUUUAGUAGAGACGGGGUUUCGUUAUGUUGGCCAGGCUGGUCUCAAACUCCUGACCUCAUGAGCCACCCGCCUCGGCCUCCCAAAGUGCUGGGACGUGACAGGAGUGAGCCACCACGCCUGGCCACUCGCAAGACCUUUUAUCUGAAAACCAGCCAAACUUUAUUCACAACACACUUCUUCCCUUCACUCUCCCACUUCUGUGGCCGACUCCCUGCAGAACUCCCAAACAGCCGUUCUUUUCAAUAGCUCACGAUGGUGUAUGAGUGUCCAUCAUCUGACCCUUCUUGGAGUCUCAUAUUUCGUGGGACUCCUGUGAAAACAUAUAUUUUUAAAAUUUUUUUCCUCCUGUU